rnacentral:rRNA from 1 species
AGAGUUUGAUUCUGGCUCAGGAUGAACGCUGGCGGCGUGCCUAACACAUGCAAGUCGUACGAGCUCGAUCUUCGGAACGGGUUAGUGGCGCACGGGUGAGUAACACGUAGGUGACCUACCCCAGAGUGGGGGAUAACUUCUCGAAAGAGAGGCUAAUACCGCAUACACUCGGUCAUUCAUUUGGCCGAGCAAAGCUCCGGCGCUUUGGGACGGGCCUGCGUCCGAUUAGCUAGUUGGUAGGGUAAUGGCUUACCAAGGCUUUGAUCGGUAGCUGGUCUGAGAGGACGAUCAGCCACACUGGCACUGACACACGGGCCAGACUCCUACGGGAGGCAGCAGUGAGGAAUAUUGGCAAUGGGCGAAAGUCUGACCCAGCAACGCCGCGUGAGGGAUGAAGGCCUUCGGGUUGUAAACCUCUUUCUGGGAGAAGAGACAAGGACGGUAUCCCAGGAAUAAGUCUCGGCUAACUACGUG